CAGGUUCUAGGGGAACAAUCAUUCCCACAUAAGAGGCAAAGAAGUGAAGAUUUUAGAUGAAUACAGAUUGUUUCUAAUUGUCUCCUACAAAUUGGUACUUGCUGUUUAUCUCUACAAGAAUUCAAUUAUGAGCUGCUGCAGAUGCUGACCUCAACACCCCCUGAAAGGAGGUGGAGAUCAGAAAUGAGGUACUCUGUGCUCUGGAAAAAACUGGCAGAACAGGUCUUCAGAUAGUUAGAUAUUUUUAGGAGCCAAUUUUAUGAGCCCAAUUCUUUUAUCUCCUCACAUCUAGAAAAACACUAAAACCCUUCAUGGUGAUGUCCGCUCCUUGUGACUAGCAACAGCCUUCUGCAAGACAUAUGUGUUGGGUUGCAUGUGUUCUCCCUUCACUGGAAUCACGUAUGUACUGACCUUCCCAUCUCCCUAUCUGAAGCAGUUUCUCAGAGCUAUUUGAGAUGCUGUCUCCCGGGCUCUAGAGAAUCUCUUGGACAGAGGAGGCUGGCAGGCUGCAGUCCAUAGGGUUGCAAAGAGUUGGACAUGGCUGAAGUGACAGCACGCAUGCAUGAACACAUGCCCUCCCGAGCUCUACUCCUCAUUUUGCCCAAAUACAGCUUAACUCACAAUUCUCACAUUGUGCUUAUUUUUUUUUUUUUUCCAGUCGACAUAAUCAUCCUGUAGAAGAUAGUACGUUUCAGCCUCUACUAAUCAAGUGGAUUGAGGGAAAAUUCCCCUGAAUCUAUUAAGGGAUAGUUCUACAUUAAUUCACCUUUGUCAGUGUGUCCAUGCUUGUUGAAAUCGUGGAGAUAGAAAAGUGUAAAGAGAAGAUAGGUUUCAAAUCAGGAAACCUCAGAGAACUCAUAAUGAUCUUCCAGCUGGCUGUCAUUCUCGAAGGUGCAUCUCGCAUUAUUCUGAAUUCUGUUGUCUGCUGUAACUCAACUCCUUUUUCUUCCACUGAAGACUAUUGGAAUGCGGGGCUUUCUCCCUUAUGAGGACUUAACAUUCAUGAAGUAUGCUUGCCAGGGGAAUAUUUUCAGUUUAAUAAUUUCUAAAAAUUCUAAUUUAAGGAUAGAUGGUAAGUAGAUAAGAGCUAGGUUCAUUAUAGUUCUUUAUAGUGUGACUUAAUUUCAGGUUUUUUUUUUAUUGUUUCAAACAGUUUGUGUUCACAUGUAUAAGAGGAUACAGUAAAUUCUAUAUUUUUGCAACUCCAUAGUCUGUAGCUUGCAAGCUCCUCUGUCCAUGAAAUUCUCCAGGCAAGAAUACUGGAGUGGAUACCCAUUCUCUUUUCUGGGGGAUCUUCCCAACCCAGGGAUUAAACACAGGACUUCUGCAUUCCAGGCAGAUUCUUUACCAUCUGAGCCACCUGCAAAGCCAACAUUAAAUACUAGAUAAAACAAAACCUGUAACUAUUUUCUCAGAUUCUAGAAAAUAGCACUUAAAUGACAAACCUAAGUAAUCACAAAAGAAAUGGGAAGACAGAAAGAGAACAUAUUUCUUAAAAAUAGUUGUUGGAAUACUACAUUGUGGGGUUACAUGACCAUAGAUAAUCUAUCUUUUUGGUGCAACAUUUGAUAAAAUGUUUCCUAUGAAUUCCUUAAGGUUAAAGUGUUUAAAUUUGAGUUAGAAAUAUUAUUAAGUUUUUACAUACUUACAGCAGCUUAAUCUAAGGAGUGAUGGUAAAUGACAAUUUGAAUUAUAGAGAUGUAUAAAGUAGUAUACAGAAAGUGUAUAAACAUCCCUUUGUUUCCCUAUAAAAGUUGCCCAUUUUAGAUGAUCCUUUUCAUAUAAUUUGAAUGUCUAAACAAAUGUUUUGCC
rnacentral:lncRNA from 1 species